rnacentral:rRNA from 1 species
GUAACGCGUGGGUAACCAACCCUGUACACACGGAUAACCUACCGAAAGCCAUGAUAAUACGGGAUAAUAUACUGGCGUGGCUUCUCUUAAAUGUCAAACGUGAGCUAGUACCGGAGGGACCCGCGUCUGAUUAGCUAGUUGGAAAGGUAACGGCUUAACAAGGCGACGAUCAGUAGCCGACCGGAGAGGGUGAUCGGCCACAUUGGAACUGAGACACGGUCCACACUCCUACGGGAGGCAGCAGUGGGGAAUAUUGCACAAUGGGCGAAAGCCUGAUGCAGCAACGCCGCGUGAGGGAUGAAGGCCUUCGGGUCGUAAAACUCUUUCCACAACGAAGCUUAUGACGGUACUUGAGGAGGAAACCACGGCUAACUACGUGCCAGCAGCCGAGGUAAUACGUAGGGGGCUAGCGGUAUCCGGAUUUACUGGGCGUAAAGGG